UGGGGAAUUUUGGACAAUGGGCGAAAGCCUGAUCCAGCAAUGCCGCGUGUGUGAAGAAGGCCUUCGGGUUGUAAAGCACUUUUGUCCGGAAAGAAAUCCUUGGCUCUAAUACAAGUCGGGGGAUGACGGUACCGGAAGAAUAAGCACCGGCUAACUACGUGCCAGCAGCCGCGGUAAUACGUAGGGUGCAAGCGUUAAUCGGAAUUACUGGGCGUAAAGCGUGCGCAGGCGGUUUGCUAAGACCGAUGUGAAAUCCCCGGGCUCAACCUGGGAACUGCAUUGGUGACUGGCAGGCUAGAGUAUGGCAGAGGGGGGUAGAAUUCCACGUGUAGCAGUGAAAUGCGUAGAGAUGUGGAGGAAUACCGAUGGCGAAGGCAGCCCCCUGGGCCAAAUACUGACGCUCAUGCACGAAAGCGUGGGGAGCAAACAGGAUUAGAUACCCUGGUAGUCCACGCCCUAAACGAUGUCAACUAGUUGUUGGGGGACUUCAUUUCCUUAGUAACGUAGCUAACGCGUGAAGUUGACCGCCUGGGGAGUACGGUCGCAAGAUUAAAACUUAAAGGAAUUG
rnacentral:rRNA from 1 species